rnacentral:rRNA from 1 species
GUGGGGAAUCUUCCGCAAUGGACGAAACCCUGAAGGAGCGACGCCGCGUGGGGGAUGAAGGGCUUCGGCUCGUAAACCCCUGUCAUUUGUGAGCAAGUGUUAUUGUUUAAGAGAUGAUGACAUUGAUAGUAGCAAAAGAGGAAGGGACGGCUAACUCUGUGCUAGCAGCCGCGGUAAUACAGAGGUCCCAAGCGUUGUUCGGAAUCACUGGGCGUAAAGGGUGCGUAGGCGGUAUAGUAAGACUUGGGUGAAAUCUCCAUGCUUAACGUGGAGGGAGCCUGGGAGACUGCUGUGCUAGAGGAUUGGAAGGGAGACUGGAAUUCUUGGAGUAGCAGUGAAAUGCGUAGAUAUCAAGAGGAACACCAGUGGCGAAGGCGAGUCUCUGGACAAGACCACACGCUGCGGCACGAAGGACAGGCGAUCAAACGGGAUUAGAAACCCCAGUACUCC